GGUGGAAAAUAAUGACAGGAUGAAAGAAACUGCAGAGUCUCUGAGUCUUGAUCAGAAUGAGUAACAAGAUUUAUUGAGAAGACACGCGUAUGAAUACAGAGUGAUCUCCUGCCUUGCAAGAGUGCCACGCUCUCUUUAUACCUUAGAUCCUCCCAACCCUUACUAUCUUACUUCCCAAUUAUGGGCACAGUGCCACCAUUGUGACACGUCAACUUCUUCUGACAGGUGGUAUGACAUAAUCCCUUAGUGAGCAUAUCAGGCUGGUUCUCAAAACACCCUGGUUUUCUGCAAGCAGAAGGAAAGAUGACCCUGGCGCCAGAAUUUGUAGACAGAACAACUGUGACGUGCAUUCCUUAGCACACACUCUCACUCAGCAUCUUAGAUAUGCUCACUGAGGGAAGAAUGUUAAGUUCAGUUUACUGAGUACACAUUAUCAUCGCAUGGAACAAAAAGUAAUAUCAUUAAUAGUCGUCAUUGUUUAUGAACUAUCACACAUCAUUGAUUAUGAAUCAUUUCAAUAAACACCUUCCAUCACAGAACACGUGAGGAAAAAGAUAAAUAUUCAAUUUAUUGUAGUUACUGGAUCACCUAUUAAAAUAGGAUUGUGCUUAAAGAACAGAAUAUUUUAAAUGUAGUAAACAGUCUAGUAUAAUAACACUUGACUCGGUGAAGGGUGCUUGAUUAAUCAUCUGUUGUUUUUGCAAGACAGCAGACGACUGCGCCUUAACCUCCGGAAACAACUGCAGGGUGUGACAAGAGGACCCAAGAGGACCUGGCUGCAGACGGUAUAUGAGGUCUAUGGCAGACGGCUGGGCGAGUUCCAGCUAAAGGCAGCUCUUUGUUGGGGCAGGAAGAAUGAAAGAGGCAGGUGUGGGACCGACAACCUGUGGUCUAGUAUGGGCUGGAGGUGUUUUUUCGGGGUCUACAUAGCCGUCUGUGUUAGAGCUUUAAAAGGUCGAUUUAAGAGAAUGUAAGAUUUAAGAGAAUGUAAGUUAGCUUACAGUUCAGCAGCGCUUCCCUGCGGGUUUAGUAUUUAAUUACGGUCAUUAGUUUAUACUAAUUACAACACCUGACCCAAAUAAUCAACUAACAACUAACUCAACUAAUCAACUAACUAAUGUUACCUGCCCUCACUGAGGCGACAACCAACCAGAAACACCAAUUUAUUUCACUGCAGAAUAAUGACGGUAAAUGUUAAAACGUGUUACAGCUGGUUCUGGAGUAUCACUGUCCUGUUUUAGUGAUUUUAUGCUGUGACAUGCUCAGCUUUCCUCAUUGAAGGCAGUUAGUUUAUUAGUUGGCUCAGUUGUGUGUAAUAUGCUGUAAACAUACUGCCGGGUGUUCACUGGUGUUGCACCAAACAGAGUCCCCUGCUAAUUUCUGCAGCGGCGCUGGGAAGAUAGUUCACUCCGCUGUAGCGUUAGCUUAAAGCUAGCAUUUUUCUCAUUACGACUCUUAAACGAUCUCGUAAUUCAGAGGAUCCAGUGAUGUUCAAGAGUAAAAUGUACACAGAAUAAAACGUACAGGGUUCUGAACA
rnacentral:lncRNA from 1 species